GGCAAUUAAAAUGGAUUGCAUUGAUCAGCAUUAACAUUAACAAACUAGAGCCCUUAAUGUAAAGAGAGAAAUCAAACUAAGCCACUCAUAUCGAGGAGACCAGUCAGCCAUCUUGAUGAAGAACAAGCUCCAUAUUCAAAUCAUGUCUCGAUAAGGUAACAAGACAAAAACUCGCAUGAUACUUGCAUAAAUUAAAAAAAAAAAAAACACACUCUUCGCAUAUUAAAUUGAGAUCUUAGGUUAUUGGUAUGCCAGCUUCAGCUCCGCUUUCACAUUGCCAGACCAAAUGAAAAACUAAAUAUUGCCUGAAAUUAUAGUCACCGAAAGAGUACAGAAGUUUUGACGUAGUUCACAGUUUCUCAAAACUUUCAGGAACUCGGACACUCAGAUUCGAAGGAACCUGAGAUGAGAAUCUUUUCAUGGAACCUGAAGAGCUCACCGAGUAUUUUGCUUCUUCUUCAGAGGUGGGCCAAUACUCCAUGCCUCUCCGAUUUGUAAUCCAUAAGCAUGAUCCAGCUUUACUCUCGUCAGUAAUAAGCUCAAAAGCACCUAAAAGAAAACAUGUUUGGAAUAUGAGAUAAGAGUUUCAAAACAAAGGGGACAAACCUGGAGGGUUCUAAUGAAAUUGCAAGCCAGAUUUAUUCGUCCUUCUCAAGAAAAAGUAAUAAAAAGAGAAAGAAAGAGGUAUAUUCACUGUGCACCUGAAGCUGAUAUUUUUUAUACCCAGAAAGAGUAAUUUAAGUUCAUUUUUAAGGAGUCUUUCUUGUUCAGAUUUCAGACAAUUCAAGCCUUACGAUUUUCCACUGCAUAAGGAUGUUGUACUAGACACUUCUCAUAAAUUUGAAGAGUAAUACCUUUCACUACCGUAUCCAUAGGUACAAAGCCCCCCAUCAGAUCAAUUAAUUGGGAGCCCGCCUUUAAGGCCAACUCAGUUUCAACAAACUGCAAACAAGAAUUCACAGUGAAACUAGUUGAGACUGACCCGUUUUCAAAAUGCUGGCUAAAUAUCACACUAGAUGACAUCCGGAAUGCUUCAAAUGGAGCAAUACCUCAGGGCAAAGCACGUUGAUGCGAAUUCCCUUGCUUUUGUAGGGAGUAAGUGAUCUAGUAAAUAAAACAACACCACCUAUGGAAAAAAAAAAAAAAAAAAUUGUUAUGAGAAUCAAAUUCUACAUUAUUUCUUUCCUUUUAUAGCUGACAUCAAAUGAACAUAAGGUAAUCUAAAUGAGUGCCCGAAAUAAAAUCGGUGACACAAUGUGGUACAAACAUCAAACCUUUGGAAGCAGAGUAGAUUGGAUCUGUGUAAAAUGGAUAAAGUCCUGCAGAAGAUCCCAUAUUUAUAAUCACUCCAGGCUUUUUUGCAGCUUGCAUAAUUCCAAUCUGUUAUCAUAAAAUGUACUCAUAAUCACCACUCAUUCUCUUCCAAUUAGCAAAUUAAAAGUAUAAGCAUAAAUCCAUCUCUUGGAACUUUCAACAUCUUGGAGUUGUGAAGUACAUUCUUUUGUUCCGCAAACGUAUGAGGAGAGUGCAAGUUAUCAAACAUACGUCAUGCAGUUAGCUUCUACACAAUCAUGCACACCCAUAAAUGGGGAAAAAAAUCCUCUAAAAUUUGCUAAAUGGCAGCAGGCAGAGGAUUACCGGAAAAAGAAUCCACUUUUUACAUAAAAAAAUUUCACCCAAUAAUCACUUACCUUGUGAAUGGGCUAUAGUUAGAAGUUUUUUGAAUCGCAUGGAUAAUUUAUGUGGCCUUGGGACAUCUUAAGGCUGUACUAGACUCUGACAUUAACAGCUUAACAUCAAGAAGUAUUCAACAGAUAUCAACCUCAUCAACAAUGCCAAACAAACCAUGGCAAUAAGUCGAGCAAGAGCAACCAAGUAUGAGAGUAAACCAUGAAGGCAAGUCAAAUUUAAAGCAUACCGCUUUCUGAGUGCAAUCAAUAACUGCAACCAAGUUCACAUCAAGAGUGAAUCUCCAUGAACGUGUGCCAUCAGUUUGAUCCUCGUGGAAUGGAAUGGGAUUACUUAUGCCAGCACUGUUGAUACAUAUAUCCAAUCCUCCAUAUGUAGCUACGUGCUUCUCAAAAGCAGCAGCUGUAUCCCCUGGUCAUCGAAUAUGAUGAAUGCACAUAACUCUCUUAAAACAUAAGUUGCACAUUGAGGAGAACAAGAAGAAAACAUGCCCAGAAAUUGAUGCUCUUUACUGUCAAGAAGUGAGACGCAAUUCUGUUUGAUGGAUUACUUGUAAAAUCAUCAAGUAACAAUCCAAGAAAUGAUUGGAUAUGCAAAUUCAUGCUGAGAAGUCAAAAUACAUAAAAACCAAUCGUCUACAAAGCAACGUCAUACAAAGUUAAAAAAAAAAAAUAUUCUGUUUCCCAUUAGAACCUCAACAUAAUACAACGGAUAAGUAAAUAACUAAAAAGUGUAAUAUAAAAAUCGUCAAAAUUCAGUUUUUGAAAUCCUCUCUUUCACAGCCUCAGAAAAGCCAAUGCAAACUCUGAACCAGGAAAAGUGAAAAGCGACAAAAUGAGAACAGUCCGGUUAUGACACGUAAGUAAAUAUAGGCAAACUUACUUGUGUUGGUCACAUCACAUCUUAUAAACAUAGCAGAUGGAAAUCCUAAGUUUGAAUGAAACUUGGCAUUCUCUUUUUCAACAAGCGCUGCAACUUCCUUUCCCUUUUCUUCAGAGAGAUCAACAACUGUCACAAAGACUCCCUUCCCUGCAAGAGCUAGGCUCAAAGCUCUACCUGCAAAAUAUACACCAGCAUUGGCAACAUCCGGAAAUUAUAUACCACAACAAUUCAAAUUUCAGUAACUUCCCUUGAAUAUGAAUAAAAUCAUUUUAGCCUAUCUUCGGAAGCCUCCGAUUGAUGAGAGUAACUACUAACUACUUAUAGGAUAUAUCGUAUACAAGAAAAAUAAGCAUAUACUGGAUUAGUAAUGAUUAGAAGGUCCCAAAAACACAAAGAAUCUAAAUUUCAAUAAGAAACAACCAAAGACACAACACAACCUAUCAAGUGCCAAACAAAACACAAUCAAUACACAAACACGAACCCAGUAAAGGAAUCAAAAUAGGGUACUUAAACGCAAGAAAAAGAAAAUUAAAAGCCUUCAAUUUUUUACCAAUCCCAGAUGCACCGCCGGUGACAAAAGCUGAUAAGCCCGGUUUGAGCUCCAUUUUAUGAACAAACAGAGAGGCAAAGGGAAGCGAUUAAACUACUCGGUUAAGAGUUUUCUUAUGUGAUCGGGCUUUAACUGCCCCUUUUCCCGGGUAUUUAUUUGAACGUACUGAAAUUUGUUGUUGCUCUGAAUUGCCAAAUGAAGGGUCGAUGUUAUAUAGACGGCUUCCUAUAGGUCUCUCCAGCCCACAAUUUGCGGCGCACUGGGGUCUCCUCAUUUUCCGUAAUUGUUUGUUUAGACGUGCAAAUAAUUUGAUGAUUCUUUCCUUGAACGUCAGAGCCAGACAGGGACAAAUACGUUUCAUCAUCUAACCUCUAACCAUUAACCAAUAUCUGCUAAACAAAUACCAGUAGAUUACGCAAGAAAUAUUAUUAACACGAGAACAAUAAGAAGAUAUUAGAUUACGUACUAAACAAUCAGCUUUAGGAAAGUAUUGAUAAUAUACAUGCACUCAAUACAAUUAUUAGACGUAAAAAUGCCACGUGCCGCCCGGUUAAUAAUUCGAUUUUUCUAAAUUUUAUUGGGAUAAAUAUCUCUCCUGCAUUCAUGGUAAUAGAUUUGGAUCAUGAUUCUCUCUUAAUCUGAUCUCCUCCUGAACAAACAUAUAUGGUGAUUGGUUGUUAAUAAAAUAAAAAAAUAAAAAAGUUAAAUCUUAUCCAUAUACUAUCACUUAAAAACACAUGACACAAAAUCUUAAAAAACUCAUGAGAGCUCAGAUAAGGAGAGGAUCUUUUUCUAAUAAAUUUUCGAACCCACCCUCGAUAGAUCAUCGCUUGGCUGAAAUAUGUACUACUCAUAGUACAUUUCAAAUUAUAUGUACUUGUAGAUGGUAACAAUUUCAAAAAAUAAUAUCAGCAAUGUAAUUAUUUGUAACGUGACCUUAGUAGUACUUAUUUGACCUUAUUGGAGUUAUCAGUAUUUUUGGCUAGACAUGUUUUGCUGUAUUAUCAAAACAUGUGCCGUAUAAGCUGUAUUGCUGACUUUUAAAACAAAAAAAUUAUCUAAGCAAUUAAAACGUUUUCAAUUUAUUUAUUAUUAUUUUAUAAAAUAAUAAAUUUGAUUGCUAAAAAUGUUGGCCACAACCGACCAACGCAAGCCGCUAUUAGCAAUCUUAUAGUGGUAUAUUGCAUUAAGUUAUAUUGCUUUAGCAUUAUAUUAUAUUAACAUUUUAUAAUAUUUGUUGUUAUAUUGUAUAGUAUUAUAUUAUAAUAAUUUUCAAUAUUAUUAUUUGUAAUAUAGAAUACUUAAAAAAUCAGUUUAAACAUAUUCCACGUACUGGCAAUAAUCAACAAAGUUUCAGAAUAGAGUUAUUAAUUAAUUUAGGAUAACAUUUAGAAAUUAACUUAGAAAAGGUAAAAGAGCUAGUACUAGGAGUAGAAAUUUUUUUUGAAACUAGCAAUAUUAAUACAUUAAGAAGAAAUUUAAAUUAUAUUAAAAAAUUAUUAGCUAAUUUUAAUAAGCAUAUUAGCAUAUUCCCUAGCAAGAAAUAAUAGAAUUAAUAUAGUUAUUAGACAUAAAAACAUCUAACCGAGUAGAAUUAGAAAUUAAAAAUUUUGUCGAAAGCUUAAAAGUUGCAAUAGAAAAUAUUAAAUGUACAGAAAGAGAAUUACAAAUACAACUAGACUCAAUAAAACUAAUAGCAAGUGAAUGAGUUUAGAAAAUCAAUUAAUAGAAAUAUUAGCAUAAUUGAAAAAAAAUACACCAAAUAUUAACCCAAUAGGCUAUUGUUAUAGAGAAUUUAGUCAAUAAAGUAAUAAUAUAUAGCGAGCUCAAGCAAAUACUAUUAUUAAAUUAUUAGUCAGAGUUUGUAAUAAGUUAGAAGACUUAGAAAAAUAAACUUAUUAAAUUAGAAAGUGGCUUUUAAACCUUUAUAAAAAGUAAAGAAACAAUAUCACAUUUAGUGAAGUAAUUAUUUGAUUUAAAACUAAAAGGACAAAAGAAAUUAAUUAUUUUGCUACAUUAUUACUAGUAAUAGAAUAUGUUAUGGGUAGAAUUAGUGAAUACUGUGAAAGAAGAAAAAAAAAGAUGUUUGGGUGGUUAAAACGCUACCACAUAUGUGUGUGUGUGUGUGUGCGCGCGCUCGACAUUGUAGCCUGCUCGUGAUCAAAGCAAUGUUCGAGGAGAUUCGUAAUAGUCAGCUACUUGUAUGCAUAAGGACUGCCAGGGAAAUCGCGAGGAGAAGCCAAGAUCAGGUCUUCACACAGACCUGGUCAGAGGUUGACCAUCGAGUUGUCUAGGAAAACUAAGUAUGAUGCCCACUCCUAGACGGUUACCGAAACAACUUCUCGAUCGCCUUAUAACUGGUGCACGUGCCCAUAACCCAACUAACACGCUCAACCAAUCCACGAGCAUCCACGAACUGAUAGUGAAGCAAUAGAUUCGGCUGCUUAUAAACGCAUUGCAAAUGGAAAUCAAAGGCGACACUUUUGGAACAAAGGGGGAAACUCUGUCUCUUUAAGUCCAGAACUUUUCUCUUAAAUUAUUUAUUCUUGUGGGCAUUAUAAUCUUUACUUCAAAUAGCUACUAUUAAGCCACAGACAUUUGUGACGCAAGUUUUUCUAAAAAAACAUCCGGCGCCCCCUGAUUGUUUAUUAUGAUUGUAGGUGUGGAGAGCACGUGGUCAUCAAAAUCUGUUCCACUGAAACAACUGCAAGCAGUUCUGUGCCCCAUCAAAAUAAAUUCAGUUAUUGACUUGACAAUCUGGUAGCUAUAACGAGCUCGACUAGAUUUCUGCAUCAACAAAAGACAUCAAAUAAAAUUGUAAUUUAGGAAAAUGUAUAUAGAUAUGUCAAAAGUACCGACUUUAAGAUGUAAUUAUCCUAGCUAUUCUAGUUGUAAGAAAAAUAUAAAAAAUGAUAUAAGCACUAUAAACAACCAUACAUGUAUAAUAAUAGAAAAUUCUAUAGGAAAAAAUUCUUUAAAUAUAAUAGCAGAAAAUCUAAAAGGUAAGCACUUAAAAAUGGUAAAAGAAUCUAUAAACGGAAUAAAACUUGUAAAUGUUUUUUAUGUGGUAAAUAAUGACAUAUUAAACCACACUGUCCUAAAAAUAAAAAAGUGAUCAAUCAAUUAAAAAUAUAUAGUUAUAUAUAAUAUAGAAGAACAAAUUUUAGUCAUAGAGAAAAUAUUUAAUAUAGAUAAAUAAUCAAAUAAUGAUAGCAUAUGUAUUCUUAGUAGUAAAUCAGAAGCUAAUUAUAAUUCAGUUUUAAAUUCAAACUCAGAGGUAGAAUUAGAUUUAGAAAUUAAUGUCUUAGGAACUUAUACAUAAGUUUUUGGUAAAAACUGUAUAGUCUGUAAUAAAAAAUUUAAAUUAGGAUAUAGAGAUAUAAGAAACAGAUAAAUUCUUUUGCAAUAGUUGUAAAGAUAAACAACAAGAUGAUAAAACAAUAGAAAUAAAUGGAGUAGGAAGUGAAUUAAUAUAUAUAGAUGUAGAAUUAUUAUUUAAAAAGGAAAUAAUUUAUACUAAAGCAAUGAUAGACACUAGAGCAAACAAAUGUAUUAUACAUGAUAGCUUAGUCCCUGAAGAAAAUAGGAAUAAGUUAGAAAUCCAGUAAAUAUUAUUAGACAAUUUAAUGGUGAAUUAAUGCAAAUAACAGAAUGUAUAAAUAAUAUACUUAUUAGAAUAAAUGGAGAAACACAUGGUAUUACCAUAAACAUUUAUUUCUAACCCGAAACUAGGAUAUAAAGUUAUUUUAAGAUUAAAUUUUAUAUUAGAAAAUAAUGAUAGUAUAUUAAUAACUCCAAAUGGAGUUAAUUUCUUUAAAAAAUCAACAUUCAUUCAAUCUAAAUAUGAAACACACAUCUUCCCAUAUGAAAAGAAUACAUUAAUGCUAGAAAAAGAAGUAGAUAUAUAAUUCUUUAAUUCGUUAUUAGAGGAAGAAAAAGAUAGUAAGGUAGAAAGUAUUGAAGAGCUGGAAGACUAUAAUAAGUUAGAAUUAGAACGUGACAUGCACAUGAAUAAUAAGUUUUCCAUUAAUGAAAUAGAAAUGCUAGAUGAUGAAGACAUAGACAUGUACUUACAAGAUAUUAUGAGUAUAGAAAAACAAGUUGAAUGUUAUGCGAUAAAUGAUCUAAGAUAUAAAGAAACAAGUAGAUGAAUUAGAAAAAAUUAGAUAAUAGGCAACAAACCAAAUAGAAAAGAUAAUAAAGAGAUUUAUAGAUUAGAAAUAAUUAAUUCAAACAUAUCAAUAAAAGCACAAGAUUUAGCCUAUAGUUUAGAAGAUACAAAUGAGUUCAAAAUGUAUAUAAAUAAAUUAUAGAAUUAAAAGUAAUAAGAAAUAGUACAAGUAGACAUAGAAGUCCAGCAUUAAUAGUAAAUAAGCAUAGUGAGCAAAAAAGAGGUAAGAGUAUAAUUGUAAUUAACUAUAAAAGAUUAAACAAUAAUAAUUUAGACAAUAGUUAUAAAAAAAACCCAAUAAAGAUGAGCUAGUAAAUUGUAUACAGAAUACUGGAUACUUUUCUAAAUUUGAUUGUAAAAGUGGUUUUUGGCAAAUAUGACCUCAUAAGAAUCUAUUCAAUGGAUAGCUUUCAGUUGUUCAAAAGAACAUUUCAAAUAGUUAGUCAUGCCAUUCAAAUUAAAAAAUGCACUACAAGUUUUUCAAAUUUAAAUGGAUAAAAUAUUAAAACCAUUUUCAAAAUUUUGUAUAGUUUAUAUAGAUUAUAUUAUUGUCUUUGAUCAUAAUAAAUUUAUGAAUAUAACUCACUUACAUAACAUUUUAGAUAUUUUAGAUUAUUUUAAGAAUAACAAUAUAGUAAUUUCUAAAAAGAAAAUUGAAUUAUUAAAACAAAAAAAAUUAGGACUAACAAUAGACAGAAGAACUAUAGAAUUACAACCACACAUAGUUAGUAAAAUAUUAGAAUUUUCGAAUAAAAGAGAAGAUACUAAAAAAAUACAAAAAUUCUUAGGAUUAUUAAAUUAUAGUAGAAAAUUUAUAACAAAUAUCCGUACAUUAAUAAAACCCUUAACCCUUACAUAAUAAGUUAAGUAAAAAUGGACAUAAAUAUUUUAAUAUUGAAGAUAUAAAAUUAAUAAAAAAACUUAAAAGAAUAUUUAGAAAUCUUAAGCUAUUAGCAUUAUCUAUAGACAAUUAUUAUAAAAUUAUACAAAUUGAUGCAAGUAGUUUAGGAUGAGAAAGAAUAUUAAUAACAAAGCCUAAUAAAGAUAGUCUAAAAGAAAAAGAAGAAAUAACAAUGUAUACAAGUGGAAAAUUCAUAAAAAUAAAAAGUAGAAAAUCAAGUACAUAACCAGAAAUUUUAGGAAUAAUAAGUUCUUUAAAUUCAUUUAAUUUGUAUAUAAAAAAUGAUAUAUUUAUAAUACGAAUAGGUUGUAAUAAUAUUAUUGAAUUUUAUAAAAAAGUACAAAAGAAAAAUUUUGAGAAGAAGAAUUCUUUUAUUAAUAAAAGAUGAACGUAUUUUUUAGACGUAAUAACAUAUAGAGGAUAUAAAGGAAAUUUUGAACACAUAAUAGGUAAAAAUAAUACUUUAGUAAUAUACUUUCGAGACUAAUUAUUCAAUGAUUAUUUUACAGGAAUGGUGUGAUAUAUGAAUUUCGGUCCAGUAACACUUAGACAGUUCCUUUCAAGAACAAGUUUGAAUUUUAUAAGGACUAAUUAUCAAACAGUCGAUAAUACAUCUUAGAUAAUUUGUGGAGUUGUAAUAACUCACAAGAUAAAUUAAAAGUAGUCAAUGCACUCAUGAAUUAUUUUAGACAUAUUAAUGAGCAUAUAGAAAGCAAUCAUUUUGCAUUUUUUAUAUUAGUUAGAGGUAGACAAUCAGGCAUUUAUAGCAAAUAGAGAGAGAUAAUUUAUCUAAUAGUUAAUUAUCUAAAUCCAUAUUGUAGAGGUUUUUAUACAUUUCAUAAAGCAAUAGAAUUUGCUAGACAAAAGAUAGGACUAAAUUAUCAUAUUAGCAAUUUAAUUAACCCUUUAAACAAUGUAUCAAUAUCAUUAGCCAGACAAUGAAUUAACUCUUUAAUCAAUGCAUCAUCAUCAACCAUACAAUUUUGUAACUAUUGUGAAGUCAUGACACGCACCAUUAGAAAGCUCAAUGAAGUAAAUGCAUAUAGACAGAAGAUAAUUGCAUUAGAAAUUGCUGAUGUAGAACUAUUUAGAGAGAAUAUUUUAUUACAAAAUAAAUAUCAUAUUUUACAUAACCAAAAGACCAAAAAAAAACUGAAAACAUUUAAUCAUUACUUUCUACUUGAAGAAGCUUUUAACCAUAUCCUAGUGAAGUAAUUUUUAAGAAUCCAAAAAUUUCUCCCCUCAUUAGUGAUGGUAUAGACAUUGUAAAAGAAAAAAUAUUUUUAACCAUAGAAGAAAUCUUAUAGCAGGAUUUUAUUUCAAUAGCCAAUCAAUUAUUUUAAAAUCAAUUAAAUUUCUUCACUGAGUUAGGACCUAGAUGAUCAGAACUAAGAAAUAUUACCCUCCCAGACAUGAUUUUCCUACAAUUUCCUUUGAUUAUUCUUUAGUCAAAAUCGUAAACAAUUAAAAUUUAUUAUUUAUAAGACAGUCACUACCAUACUAAACAUUAUAUUACAACUUAAUAUAAUGCAUCCUAAUGCUAUACAACAUAGUGCAAUACAACUAAUAUGAUGUGAUAUAAUGCAAUGUGUCAAACGUCCUCCAAAUGAAUACACUUAGUCUGAGGUACGGGGAUUGAGCCAUUGAGGUUAUGCAAGGUGAAAGAAAUAAGAAAUAAGAACUUAAAUAAACUUUAAUUUAUGCGGAUUGAUUCAACUUUUCAUGUAAUUAAAUAUUCCAUUGGAGUUGGAUUAGGGAUAUUAUUUUACUACCUAAUAUAUUUUGACAUAACAUUUCACCAUUAAAGUUUUCUGACAAUUACUUUUUCUUAUUUAAUGUUUUAGUUUUUAUUAUUUUACUACCGAACCAUUAAAAUUAAUAAAAUUCUUAACGUGAAAUAUAAUAAAAGACUAUUUUACCCCCAAAUUACGUAAAUAUAAUUUAACAUAAAUUAAAAAAUAUAAAAUUAAUUAUAUACAAAAAUAAUAUUUUCACUAAUUAAUUAUUUAAUUAUAUAAAAUAACUAAUUGAUAAAAUUAUAAAUAUCAUACCUUAUGAAAUUCCUAAAACAUUAUAUAUAUUGAAAACUCAAGGCCACAGCCCACAGCCAAUGGCUACGGACGUUGCUUUAAGUUCUUUUAUUCGAAGGAUUGGUAAACCACGUACCGCUAUCAUUAUAAUAAUGGGAACAAGCGAGAUUAGGUGUAAUUUUCAUUUGUUUUCGUCCUUAUCAUGACAUAGCAUCAUCUAUUCAUUUUACGUGUUAGCUUAUUACUCUUGUUUGUUUUAAGUUAAAUAAAAUAUUAAUCCCUUUUUUGACAUUUGAGGCGAGUUAUAUAAAUAACAAUCCGUUCUUGACAUUUGAAGCAUACUUGUACCAAGAGCAAAGCUUAAACAUUUCAAUUUUUGGCUUUUUUAUUUUGUUUUUUAUUUGUUAGGUUUUAUAAUCUCAAAAUCAAGUGUAUGUUUGGCAUACAGUGUCACAUAGUAUUAAUUUGUGGGCUCACAUUAGUUGAAAUAAUUCCGUAUUUGACAAUUCAAAUGGAUUGCAUUGAAAUGAAUGUUGUUUCUAAGCAUGAAAAGUAUCUGGGACUUCCAUCUAUGAUUGAGAGGAGAAAUAUUAGUUUCUUCAACGACAUAAAGUUGAGUGCUGAAUAAGCUGUCAAGUUGGCAAAAUAAGUGUUUCUCGAGUGGGGGAAAAGAAAUCCUCAUCAAAGCUGUGGCACAAGCUGUGCCGGCUUAUGCGAUAAGCAUUUUUAGAAUUCCUCAAGGGCUUUGUGACGAUAUACAAAAGGCAGCAGCAAGGUUUUGGUGGGGAUCAUCCGAAACUUAUAAAAGUAUUUAUUGGGUAAGGUGGGAAAGGUUGUGCCGGGCUAAGAUCAGGGGUGGAUUGGGAUUUAGAGAUCUUUCAAGUUUCAAUCAGGCUCUUGUUGCUAAUCAGGGGUGGAGAAUUCUACAUAACCCUGAUUCUUUUAUGACAAAAGUAUUAAAAGCCAAGUACUCCAAACAUACUGACUUUAUGGAGGCAAAAUUGGGGUCAAAUCCCCCCUUUGUAUGGAGAAGGAUAUUAUGGGGAGACAAGUGCUACACCAAGGCCUAAGAUGGAGAAUUGGUAAUGGAAGCCGUGUUUCAGUGUCCAACAGUAAUUGGAUUCUGAGAUAUGAACUUUCAAGCUAUGUCCCUCAUCAAAAUUUAACGGAAGGGGCUGUUGUUGCUGAUUUUAUUGAUGACAAAAAUCAGUGGAAGGAAGAGAAGAUUGAGCAAUGUUUUACCAAAGAGGUUGCACAGAAGAUUUUGAAAAUCCCUCUCCCAAGAACCCCUCAGGAAGACAUAUUGAUUUGGCAGUUCGAUAAGCAUGGCUGUUACUCAGUAAGGAGUUGAUAUCAGGUGGCACUAAAGAUGAAGUUCCCAGAUAAUCCGGAGUGCUCUGACAGCUCAAAAACUCAGUGGAAGGUAAUUUGUUCAAAUGAGAUUUCGGAAAAAAUUAAAAUUUUUAUGUGGAGGGCUGCUCAAAAUUUACUGCCAACAGCUAGCAAUCUAUGGAGGAAAAAUGUGGUGAGGGAUCCAGCCUGCCAAAGAUGUCAUUGUAAAAGUGAGAGUGUUCUUCAUGUCUUAAUAGAGUGCGAGGCUGCUCGCAAAGUCUGGAAAUUGACAGAUUUUUACGAGGAUGUGAAGUUGAUGGCUCAGCAAGAUAUAUUGAGUAUGCUCCAAGGUUUAGCAUCGAGAAGGAAGAAGAAAGAGUUGGAACAGAUUAUUGCCGUAUGUUGGGCCAUUUGGUAUGCGAGGAACCGCUUUAUAUAUGAAGGAAAGCAGGAAGAGCCAAAACUGACAGCAGCAAGAGCAUCAGCUAUUGUGGAGUCAUACAGGAGAAUAAAAAUCCAAAAUGGUCCAGCUCGAUCAAUCCAUCAUCGAAACAGCCAGCAAAUUUGGAAACCUCCUCCAGAUGGGAAGUACAAAGUCAAUGUAGAUGCUGCAAUUCAGAUGUCAGGUCUGAAGGCAGGGUUGGGGGUUGUGAUUGGGAACUCAAAUGGAAAAAUCAUUGCCGCAGCUGUCAAGAGAGUCAGCUAUAAGGGGACAGUGGCGUGCAUGGAGGCUGAAGCAAUUCUUUUUGGCAUUCAAGUUGCCCAACAAGCAGAAUGUUUGCCCAUGAUCAUUGAAUCGGACUCAACAGAAGUGGUGGAGCUAGUUUUGAACAGGAAGGGUAGCAUGACAGAAAUUUCUUGGACAGUUGAAGAAAUUAAACAAAGGCUGAUGAAUCACAAUACAUCUUCAAUCCAGUUUGCUCCAAGGAAGUGUAAUGCCAUUGCCCAUUCUAUAGUUAAAGUGGCUUUUGAUUUUGAGAACCCUGUUAUUUGGCUGGAAGAGUUUCCAGUUCAGAUCAUGCUGUUAUUUUCAAAGUUCAUUAAUUAGAAAGCUUUACUUUCUCAUUAAAAAAAACAAUAAAUAACCAGAGCCCUUGAUGUAAAGAGAGAAAUCAAACUAAGCCACUCAUAUACAGGAGACCAGUCAGCCAUCUUGAUGAAGAACAAGCUCCAUAUUCAAAUCAUGUCUCGAUAAGGUAACAAGACAAAAACUCGAAUGAUACUUGCAUAAAUUAAAUAAAUAAAUAAAACACACACACAUACACACACUCUUCGCAUAUUAUAUUCAGAUCUUAGGUUAUUGGUAUGCCAGCUUCAGAUCACUCUCCACUUUCACAUUGCCAGACCAAAUGAAAAACUAAAUAUUGCCUGAAAUUAUAGUCAAAUUUCCAUCACCAGCCACCGAAAGAGUACAGAAGUUUGACGUAGCUCACAAUUUCUCAAAACUUUCAGGAGCUCGGACAUUCAGAUUCGACGGAACCUAAGAUGAGAAUCUUUUCAUGGAACCUGAAGAACGCACCGAGUAUUUUGCUUCUUCUUCAGAGGUGGGCCAAUACUCCAUGCCUCUGCGAUUUGUAAUCCAUAAGCAUGAUCCAGCUUUGCUUUCGUCAGUAAUAAGCUCAAAAGCACCUAAAGAAAUUUGGAAUAUCAGAUAAUAGUUUCAAAACAAAGGGGCAGGGCAAGGCCAAAAGGUUAAACGACCAUUUGAUCUCAUGUGCUCAUCCCCCCCCUCCCCCCCUCAAAAUGUAUUUUACUAAAAUAUCGUUGGCAGCAAUUGUUUUCUUAUUGUUAAUAAACAAUGCAUCUGAAUAACUGUAUCUGGCAUUCCACUGCACAUCCAAAUAAGUAUAAAGGGCAUAGAGUUGACAAACCUGCAGGGUUCUAAUGAAAUUGCAACCCAGAUUUAUUUGUUCUUCUUCUCAAGAAAAAGUAAUAAAAAGAGAAAGAAAGAGGUAUAUUCACUGUGCAGCUAAAGCUGAGAUAUUUUUUAUACCCAGCAGGAGUAAUUUAAGUUCAUUUUUAAUGAGUCUUUGUUGUUCAGAUUUCAGACAAUUCAAGCCUUACGAUUUUCCACUGCAUAAGGAUGUGGCGCUAGAGACUUCUCAUAGAUUUCGGGAAUAGCAAAGUAACUCAAAACUAUUAGUGCGGCAUCAGAUUUAAACAUUUGAAGAGUAAUACCUUUCACUACCGUAUCCAUAGGUACAAAGCCCCCCAUCAGAUCAAUUAAUUUGGAGCCCGCCUUUA
rnacentral:lncRNA from 1 species